UGGACGUGGCAGGCAGGACACGACAAGAUAUUAACCCUGCAUAUUUGAAUUUUUAUUUGAAUUAAUAAGGUCCAUCAGAAACUCUGCGUGUUGGUGGGACAUUAAGUAGCUUAAGCCAAAAUAUUCCUAAAGGAUUUUGCAGGCCUGUGAGGCUGCAUUAUCCAUUUAAUGCUUUCAUCUGCAGCUGUAAAGGUUGAAUGCCCGGGUUAUAGAGGAGCUGUGAAGUUUGCCGUCUUCCUUCGGGAUGCCUCUCCCAACGCAUCAGCGGAAAACACUUCAGCAGCAUUAGAUCCCUGCAAACCCGUAUUGGAUAAACGUUUGGAAGAUGACUGAAUGGAUGCAUGCUCUGUAUAUCUACCUGGAACGACUGCUUGGACCACAUGGACAUCUUUGUGGUUAUGGAAGGUGAAAGCCUCGUGUCAUGUGAAAUAAAGCUGGAAACACCUCUCACAGGGCGGAGCAUUGCCUUGCAAAGCAUUCAGAGGACAGAGUGACAUCCUGCCAGGAGAACACAAAG